rnacentral:rRNA from 1 species
GACAGAGGAGCCAAGCGUUGUCCGGACUGACUGGGCGUAAAGCGCACUGCGAGGACGGCGCUGCGCGUGGGGUGUGAAAGCUCUUGACUUACGUGAGAGAGGCCAUCCCAUACGGCAGUGGCUCGAGCGGUGGCAGAGGUCCGCGGAAGUUGCCGGUGUAGUGGUGAAAUGCGUAGAGAUCGGCAGGAACACCCAGGGGGAAACCAGCGGACUGGGCAUCAGCUGACGCUCAGGUGCGACAGCGUGGGGAGCGAACGG